rnacentral:lncRNA from 1 species
AAGACAAAGUCAAAGCUGCCAAUCAACUCCAGCCCUGGGCAUCCACUCCACUUCCACAAGUUGGACUGGGAUUUACAUUAUUGGCUGCCUUCAUUUUUGGAUCUUUGACGCAGACUAAAUUAUACCACUGGCUUUCCUGGAUCUCCAGUUUGCAGACAGCAGAUUGUGGGACUUUUCAGCCUCCAUAAUCAUGUAAGCCAAUCCAAUUCCUCCUAAAAUCUGUGUGUGUGUGUGUGUGUGUGUGUGUGUGUGUGUGUGUGUGUAUGACCAAUACACAUUUUAUUGGUUUAUACACUCUAUAUACACUUCAUAAUUGAACUUGAUUGGUUCUAUUUCUCUGGAGAACCCUUACUAAUACAUUUGAAAACAUUAUGCUAAGUGAAAUAAGCCAAUCACACACACAAAAAUACUGUAUGAUUACACUUAUAUGAGGUACCUAAAGGAAUAAAAUUCAUAGACAAAGAAAGUAGAAUUGUGCUUACCAGGGGCUGGGGUGAGAGAGAAAAGAGGAGUUGAUUAAUGGGUCUAGAAUUUCAGAUUUGCAAAGUGAAAAGGAUCUGGAGAUCAACUUCACAGCAAUGUGACUAUUUCUAACUGUCCACUUAAAAAUGGUGAAGAUGGUAAAACUUUAUGUUACAUGUUGUUUUUUUUACCACAAUUUAAACUGUUGAAGAACAUUUUAAAAACUUUAACAUGAAUAUCUAGAGCCUGUGGUUUACAUAAACUCCACAUGGUAUCUAAUUACAUUGAUGUUUGCCAUGAUCAAACAUCAGGGCUGCUUGAACUGCAGCCCAAAGGUACUGCAGUAUCUUUUCUUGCUCUAGUUCUCAAGCAGUUGGUAGUCUUUAGUGUUACCUAGUUUAUACAUCAAAGCAGUAUUACCAAGCAUGGAAUAUAUCACUUCCAGAAUCUAUAAAGCGAUAUCACAUAUUACACUUCCUUAUUAACAUUGGGAGGUGCAACAUGUAAUCAUACAUCCUUUGGAAGGGAUGUCCUAGCAUGUUACAGACCACCAGACCCAUCAAUGUUUUUGUGAUAUGUAUCUCUGUGGGAUUUAUCUAUCACCUUUCGGUAUCCAUGUGUUUAACCAGGGCCUCCAUGACACUAGUUACUUCUUGUACAUUCAGAUUGACCAACAAGGCCUUAUUAUAAGGAUUAUUGUGAUAUUCAGCUGGGUGUUAAGUGGGUUUAGAUUAUUUCAGAAUGUAUUAUAACAGGCAAGGAGAGAGCUAACAGAGGCUCAAUAGUUAACACAGAUACAGAUUGUAAAUGUGCAUUUUUGUUCAUUUCACAUGAAUGGAAACUGUUUUGAUAGGGAUGGUUGUUUUUGUCUUUAGUGGGUUUCACCUAUCUCUACUUAUUAUACUUAUCUGUGCAACAAUAGCUAUCACUAGGAGGUGCAAUGACUCCAAUGAUCACCUGUGGUCAGGGCAGGAGUCUGUAUUACCUGAAGCACAGGGGCUGAAAGUAGAGGAUGAUUAGUUCUUCUGUGCUCUGUCUUAAUAGAACCAAAAUGAAAGGAAAAGGAAGACUGAACUCCCCUCCCACACUGCCAAUUAUAUACCAGGAUUGGAGAACAAUACAACAAAACUAUUCCUUCAAUAGCUGGUCUUGUACUUGCCUUCUAGAGCCUGGGGAAAUGCCCAGCUCGCCCUUUCCAUCCACAUUCCUCUGCUCAUUCAACAGAACCAUCUGGUGUGUGCCUACCAUGUGCUGAGGACUUAGAAGCAACACCUCAGUCAUUUUCCUUGGGGAUCUCUCAGUCUGUCAGCUGUGGUGAUAGGGACAGGCAACCCAUAAGACAGGUGGGGAAGGGAGCACCGAAAGUCAAUGAAGAGAUGUGAUCUGGAGUGAUUUACUACCAGGCCAAGUGACAGUCACCCUAUUUUGCUAUUUUUUAAUUACCAUUUCGAAUUAAUAAUGUGUCUCUUCCCACGCAUCCCCCUCAGAGUGGGGCGUAAACACCUUUGUAUGUGACUGUGCAGAGCUUUGAAGCUCCCAGAACAGCAGCCCUCCUGCCUUGCCUUCUCCCCAGGUAAUGUGACCCAGGCCUGUCCUUGGCUGCAGCCACCAACCCCACCCGGAGCGGCUGUCUGAACUGCCUGGCCUGCCUGGGUCUCCACGAAGGCCAGGAUCAGGCAGAAGGCGAUGGAGGCACCUCCCGCCUUUGCUUCGUUAGUCCCAGGACGAGCGGGCCCGCGCGUACCCGGAGAGGGGCGGCGGCGCGGGUGGCCUGGCGGGUCCCGGGGCCUCGGUUCGCAUCGGAGUCCCCUCUGUGCUCGCCCUGCAGCCGCUGCCCGAGAGGUCUGAGUCGCCACCAGCUGUGUCCGC